UCAUUCUUCUUCUGCUUGCUUUGAAUGGCGUUCACUUUAGUUUAUGGUUUGCUUUGCGCCGAUUUUCCUUCUUUUUGCGCCCACGCAAUAAAUUCCGUUUUAGUAAGACGCCUGCAGUCGAAUCAAGCUGUUUAAAACUAUUAUAACUGAAAAGUCUCAAGUGAAUGCCAUCCGUAUGGUACAUGCUUAAGACUCGUGCGGAUUUGAAUAAAUAAUUGACAUUAUUAUGACAAUCAAACUUGCUGAUAAACGUGAUUUGGUGCGGAACUAAAAGUGUAAAGUGUUACAAUAAUCGAUUUGCAGAAUCUGAAUAAUUUAGCGCAUGGGGAGCCAUUGUAAAUUUACAAAAGUAGUUAAUAUUUCAUUUCACAAAAAAGCUCGUGAGUUAUAAGAUCAAGACAAGCAUGUAUACACACAAUUCUACAUACAUAGAUAUGUACAUAUGUAUGUAUGUAUUUGUCAAUUCCCUCUUUCUAUUGCCUGUUGGGAUGUGUGUUCGCUUUCAUUUUAACUACUUAUGCAUGUUCGUUUUUGCUCUACGAAUGAAUUUAUUUUGUGAUCGUUUUCUUUUUUUUAAUAUGUUUUCUUUGUUAAUUUGCAAGCAAACUCUGUGCAAGUUUAAUCUAAGUACAAAAUGUAAUAUUUCGUUUGUAUGGACCAAACUGCUAAUUAGCAUUCCCAACUUCUCAAUUACAAUUUGACUUCUUUGGGUCACAAUAAGCAACACACAGAAUUGUGCAGAAUUUUACAAUAGACUGUUUAAAGCGAUAAGCGCAUGUCAGAUGCAUACCCACAUACAUACAUACGCAUUUCGGGAUGCCUUCUGCCUGCACAUACAUAUUUGUGUAUGUCUUCUGCAUGUGUCUGUAUGUACCUAUUUAUAGAUUGUGUGUGUGAUUGUUCACACAAAACUAAGCUGCGCGAGACAAAAAGGGCACAAUUACCGUUGUACAUUUUCGGCGAUUUCCUCUUCAUGUUGUCUAUUUAUGCAUGUGUGUGAUUGCUUGAGCCGACUUUCGUCCACUUUGCUUCUGCGCAUCAAAAUUCUGUUUUAGUUUAAUGCCAGCAGCCGAGUAAAUCUCUUUGGACAUAAUAUUAGUAAAAAUUCUUGGGGUAAUACCGUCUGUAUUGCUAGCGGUAUACGUGUUAUUACUCAUAUUUUAAGGUACAUAAAUAUCAAAUAUGAAUUCAAUAAGAGUUACAAAUAGUUCAACGCCUAUUAUCAUCCAAAGUCGAACUUCAAUAACCGAAAUGAAAGCCAGUUCGGUCCAAAAUGAAUUUUCAUACAUAAGUUGUGAUCCUUUGCUUGCUCCAAUUUCUGUGCGCCGAGAAAAAUGUGGUUAGAUGUAUGUAUAAGGCGAAAUAAAAAUAAAAAUAUCCAAAAUCUUUCGAACUUGGUUGAUGUUGGUUAUUUCAUGCCAUGGAUACACCUUUAACAAAAUCGUAUUCUAAAUUGUGGCCAUAAUGACAUUGGAUGCAUCAACGUUGUUGCCAAGCCGAGUCAACUCAAAGGGCUGUAGAUUGGAAAGGCUUUCAGGAAUCCUCAAAUAUGUUUAAUCUGGAAUCUGGAUGACCUUGGCUAUUUCAUACUAAGGAUAUUUCUUUAACUUAAUCGUAUGCUGAUCAAAAUCGUAAUUUCAAUGUUUAUAUCAAAGUUUUUGCGUAUCAGGGUCAGUUAUCUAAUCGAUUUAAUAGAGUUGCCCGAAUUCUAAAAGGUAUAUAUUUAUUUAACGAAAACUAAUUAAUAUUUUUACCAAGCUUAUGGACAGUAAUAUAUUUAGUAUCAUCGGUAACUGAAAGUUAAAGUUGUUCCGAAUCUGAAUCUGAUCUGAAUUCAAAAUAUGUAGAGCUCUGUCGAGUUUAGAGGUCUUUAAGAAACCUUAAAGCCUAAUCUGAGCACAAAAACUGUAACUGGAGUUAGAAUUCUACGUUUUUGUUUGAACAAAUAUCUAGGAGAGCAUCUAUUAAAUUAGCUGCAUGUAAUAUAAAACCCUUUUAGAAAGGCCAGCUUAUACUAAAAACACGUUCAUAUUGACUACUAAGUUCAACUCAGAGUGUUACACUGCGCGUGACUCAAGCAGACGAAAAAACCGGCGCACAGAAAAUUAGCAAGCGAUCAAAUUUUGAGUGAGAACUAUGCGACACAUUGACCAGCAUACACACCCACACAAACACGUGUAUGCUCAGAGAUGCGCCAGAGCCAGAGAUAAGCAGUCACCUGUUUGUGUGGGUGUUCGCUGUCAAUUAUCUUCUUGCGCUCAUGCACUCACGACUUUUUUGGUGCUGAUCGCUGAUUGGUCCAUUUAAUGUGAGCUUGCAUUGAAGUUCUCGUGUGGUCAUUUGCCUGCUCUAUUUUCUGAGCGCCGAUUUUAUGGACCUGAGCAACUUUAUUCUGAGUUAGUGGGCACUGUUAGUCAAUAAGGCAAGGUUUUAUGCCGCGAGUUAAGGUCAAUUAAUUGUACAUUUAUUUUAGAAAGGGCACGUAGCGUUCUGUUUAUUUUAAUUAUUUACCGUUUUUGUCUCGCCUAAAAUGAAUUAAUCUAUAGGAGUAUAUAAUGUUUAAAUAUUUACUUCUUAAUUUAAUUUAAAUAUUUGUAUUAAUGUGAAAUUGACUACAGAAUCUGGAAUCUGGAUGACCUUGGCUAUUUCAUACUAAGGAUAUUUCUUUAACUUAAUCGUAUGCUGAUCAAAAUCGUAAUUUCAAUGUUUAUAUCAAAGUUUUUGCGUAUCAGGGUCAGUUAUCUAAUCGAUUUAAUAGAGUUGCCCGAAUUCUAAAAGGUAUAUAUUUAUUUAACGAAAACUAAUUAAUAUUUUUACCAAGCUUAUGGACAGUAAUAUAUUUAGUAUCAUCGGUAACUGAAAGUUAAAGUUGUUCCGAAUCUGAAUCUGAUCUGAAUUCAAAAUAUGUAGAGCUCUGUCGAGUUUAGAGGUCUUUAAGAAACCUUAAAGCCUAAUCUGAGCACAAAAACUGUAACUGGAGUUAGAAUUCUACGUUUUUGUUUGAACAAAUAUCUAGGAGAGCAUCUAUUAAAUUAGCUGAAUGUAAUAUAAAACCCUUUUAGAAAGGCCAGCUUAUACUAAAAACACGUUCAUAUUGACUACUAAGUUCAACUCAGAGUGUUACACUGCGCGUGACUCAAGCGGACGAAAAAACCGGCGCACAGAAAAUUAGCAAGCGAUCAAAUUUCGAGUGAGAACUAUGCGACACAUUGACCAGCAUACACACCCACACAAACACGUGUAUGCUCAGAGAUGCGCUAUAGCCAGAGAUAAGCAGACACCUGUUUGUGUGGGUGUUCGCUGUCAAUUAUCUUCUUGCGCUCAUGCACUCACGACUUUUUUGGUGCUGAUCGCUGAUUGGUCCAUUUAAUGUGAGCUUGCAUUGAAGUUCUCGUGUGGUCAUUUGCCUGCUCUAUUUUCUGAGCGCCGGUUUUACGGGCUUGAGCAAUUUUAUUCUGAGUUAGUAUGGCACUGUUAGUCAAUAUUAUGCUUGCGAGCGAUAGUCCGUUAAGCCUGUUAUUUUGUUAGGAAGGGCAAGUACCAUUAUUAAUAUACCUUUCUGAACUCGUACAGAUUAAAACUAUUAAUUGGCUUGGUAAUAUAAAAUUUAAUAAUUUAUAAAUAGAAAUCGGUGUACAGAAAAUGUACACGUAUUGUUUUGAGCUAUUAGCAGCCUGCACUAGCAACCAUAUACACAUACAUAUGUUUGGGUGUGUUUUCCCAAUUGAUAUCUUAUGAUUGUGUGUGAUUGCUUCUGCGUUAUCUACCUUUAAAUAGUGAGCACUAUUAAAAAAAAAAACAAAAACGUUAAUUUAAUCUCUUGAUUUUGAAUUGGUUUGAAUGCCAAUUGUUAGUAGAGAUCUGUACGAGUUAAAAAAGGUUUAACAUUCCUAAGUCGUUUCAAGGCUUUCGAAGAGUUCAUAUCUGUGUUUCCAAAAUCGGUCGUUAUACAACAGAUAUAGUUUAAAUAAAUAAAUAUUUUAUCUUGUAUUUUCAGCCAAAUCUGCGACACCAAUGGACAACAUACAAUCAGCAACUGAUAGCUCUUCAUGGUACCUAGUUGACGUCUAUAUCCUUGGUUAUUCCAUAUCAUGGAAAUAGUCCUAGCGAACCUAAAGGACCGAGUUUUAGCAAAAUGCGCAAGACAUGGUCCCAAAAUAUGUAUGCUACUUUUUACAGGGGCCCCCAUCAACAGCCCCGCCCCUGUAUGGUUUCUAGUCGACUAGCAUAUCCUUGGUUAAACCGUACCAUCGAUAUAGUCCUUGGAAACCUAAAGGAUCAGAUCCCUGCAAAAUGUGCAUUGAAAUGAUCCAAAAACAUGUAUGCUUUUUCUUUCAGGAGCCCUUUUUCAUUAGCUGCAGCUGCAGCUGUUGUUUAACAGGCAGCUUACAGAGCUCAUUUAACAUAAACUCAUAAUUAACAGCACUCAUUUUAAUUGAGUUACAUUUUUGCCCCUUAAUGCUAUGCAAUGAAAAUUUUUAUUCAAACCACUCGGCGACCUUCUGGGCAUUUCUGUUCGCCUGGUAUUUGAGUGGAAUUUUAGUGCAAAUUUGGGCCGGCCGCGAGGGUGCCCCUUUUUGCUACGUCAUUUUUCGGCCGCAAAAAUAUUGUACGUCAACCUUCUGGGCAUUUCUGUUCGCCUGGUAUUUUUGGGAAAUUUUAGCUCAAAUUUGGGAUCCAGCCGGCGACGAGGGCGCCCCUUUUGGGUAUGCAAUGAAAUUUUUUCGGCAGCUAAAAAUA